AAUAAAGUAUCAGUCAUAACAAGAAUUUCUAUGUCUCGCGUGCUUCUUGCCGGCGGAAAGUCGAGCGCGGGACAUUUGGUGCCGAGAAACCCGGGACAAAAACAUCGCCGGCGCUACGAGAGGCCUCCGUUUCACGGAAGAAAUUCAGAAGCUAUGGAAUACAGGUAAAAAACUCUGAGAGACCAUGGCUAGCCUUGAUCUGCUCCAACUCAGUCCCCUGCCGGACGCGGCAGGUGCCGCUGUGGUUGCUCUGGCAACCCUCCGGCUUUUUCUAUUGACCUUUGAGUUUCUAGCUACCGCCAAACGGCGUCAGAGGUCGCGUGGGAACUGCCCAGCUGUAACAGCAAAGCGGAGAGCGUUGGGGGCAGGGAGAGACAGUCAGUCAGAAACAGAGGAUAGUGAAAAGUUGCAACGAGGAAAGGAUCCUGAUCGAUCUCAAGCACC
rnacentral:lncRNA from 1 species